AUUGAACGCUGGCGGCAGGCUUAACACAUGCAAGUCGAGCGGAGAUGAGGUGCUUGCACCUUAUCUUAGCGGCGGACGGGCGAGUAAUGCUUAGGAAUCUGCCAUUUAGUGGGGGACAACAUUCCGAAAGGAAUGCUAAUACCGCAUACGUCCUACGGGAGAAAGAAGGGGAUCUUCGGACCUUGCGCUAAAUGAUGAGCCUAAGUCGGAUUAGCUAGUUGGUGGGGUAAAGGCCUACCAAGGCGACGAUCUGUAGCGGGUCUGAGAGGAUGAUCCGCCACACUGGGACUGAGACACGGCCCAGACUCCUACGGGAGGCAGCAGUGGGGAAUAUUGGACAAUGGGCGGAAGCCUGAUCCAGCCAUGCCGCGUGUGUGAAGAAGGCCUUUUGGUUGUAAAGCACUUUAAGCGAGGAGGAGGCUACCUGGAUUAAUACUCUAGGAUAGUGGACGUUACUCGCAGAAUAAGCACCGGCUAACUCUGUGCCAGCAGCCGCCGUAACAC
rnacentral:rRNA from 1 species